rnacentral:tRNA from 1 species
GAUAAGGUAGGAUAAGUUAGUCUGAGGGGUUCAUAUCCUCUAGGUGGUAAGCUCUUGUUU